CCUACGGGUGGCAGCAGUGGGGAAUAUUGGACAAUGGGCGAAAGCCUGAUCCAGCCAUGCCGCGUGUGUGAAGAAGGCCUUCGGGUUGUAAAGCACUUUCAGUGGGGAAGAAAGCCUUGGGGCUAAUACCCUCGAGGAAGGACAUCACCCACAGAAGAAGCACCGGCUAACUCCGUGCCAGCAGCCGCGGUAAUACGGAGGGUGCGAGCGUUAAUCGGAAUUACUGGGCGUAAAGCGCGCGUAGGCGGUCUGAUAAGCCGGUUGUGAAAGCCCCGGGCUCAACCUGGGAACGGCAUCCGGAACUGUCAGGCUAGAGUGCAGGAGAGGAAGGUAGAAUUCCCGGUGUAGCGGUGAAAUGCGUAGAGAUCGGGAGGAAUACCAGUGGCGAAGGCGGCCGUCUGGACUGACACUGACGCUGAGGUGCGAAAGCGUGGGUAGCAAACAGGAUUAGAUACCCUGGUAGUC
rnacentral:rRNA from 1 species